GAAACACUCUGAGGAUGAACGUUGGCCUGCACUGAUCCACAAAGUAGAAACGAUGGAGUCUGUUAUUGAGCUGCUGCUGGAAACUCUGGAUGCUCUGAAUUACCGGGAGCUCAGUGAGUUCAAUAAGAACCUGCGACAAAUUCAUCGCAAAUAUGACUCAGACUUUUCAUUGACGCCGUACAGGGGGACAAACCUGCAGCACACAGUGUUUCUGAUGGUGCAGACUUACGGCCAACAGUCAGUGGAGAAGACCAUGGAGGUCUUAAAGAAGAUGAAGAGGACUGAUCUGGCUCAGAGGCUGUCAGACUGCAGCUCACUGCCUCGAAAGAAACACUCUGUGGAUGAAC
ensembl:lncRNA